CACGUCGGUGGCAAGCGUUGUCCGGAUUUAUUGGGCGUAAAGCGCGCGCAGGCGGUUCGUUAAGUUCGGUGUGAAAGCUCCCGGCUCAACUGGGAGAGGUCAUCGGAUACUGGCGGACUCGAGGGAGGUAGAGGAAGGUGGAAUUCCCGGUGUAGUGGUGAAAUGCGUAGAGAUCGGGAGGAACACCAGUGGCGAAGGCGGCCUUCUGGGCCUUUCCUGACGCUGAGGCGCGAAAGCGUGGGGAGCGAACCGG
rnacentral:rRNA from 1 species